rnacentral:rRNA from 1 species
UACGAAGGGGGCUAGCGUUGUUCGGAAUUACUGGGCGUAAAGCGCACGUAGGCGGAAUGUUAAGUCAGGGGUGAAAUCCCGGGGCUCAACCCCGGAACUGCCUUUGAUACUGGCAUUCUCGAGUCCGGAAGAGGUGAGUGGAAUUCCGAGUGUAGAGGUGAAAUUCGUAGAUAUUCGCAAGAACACCAGUGGCGAAGGCGGCUCACUGGCCCGGAACUGACGCUGAGGUGCGAAAGCGUGGGGAGCAAACAGG